CACACACACACGCAUGCACGCACACACGCACGCGCACACACGCAAGCGCACGCAUGCCCCCGGGCGCACGCGCACACGCACAGACACGCGCACGCACGCGCACACCACCGCCGCGCUGACUGAGCCGAGAGGACGUCCGUCCGUCCACAUAACGCCGCAGGCCUCGCUCUGCAGCUGCCGCGGGGCAGGGGCCCCGGACCACAGGGCACACGCUGUCCCGGGCGUAAGGCGGAGCAGCUGGGGGGUCGCCGUCCCUCCCACCCCGCGGCCACCACGUCCCCCUCCCUCUCGCACCAGAGCUGAGCAGGAGCAUAAGUAGGUCCUGAGGGCAUCUGAACCCCAAGCAGGUCAGCUCAGCACGACUUCAGCCGACGUAUCCCCUCCAAGGGAAGAUGCGAUGCCACUAGGAACAUCUGUGAUCUGUGGGAAGAAGUCAAAGCAUCAGCAUUCACAGGGGUUUGGAAGAAGUUGGUUCCAGCCCUCAAGAUGCCCCUUCAAGACGUCAGGGGAGGGAGCCC